AUGAACGCUGGCGGCGUGCCUCAUACAUGCAAGUCGAGCGAACGGACGAGAAGCUUGCUUUUCUGAUGUUCGCGGCGGACGGGUGAGUAACACGUGGAUAACCUACCUAUAAGACUGGGAUAACUUCGGGAAACCGGAGCUAAUACCGGAUAAUAUUUUGAACCGCAUGGUUCAAAAGUGAAAGACGGUCUUGCUGUCACUUAUAGAUGGAUCCGCGCUGCAUUAGCUAGUUGGUAAGGUAACGGCUUACCAAGGCAACGAUGCAUAGCCGACCUGAGAGGGUGAUCGGCCACACUGGAACUGAGACACGGUCCAGACUCCUACGGGAGGCAGCAGUAGGGAAUCUUCCGCAAUGGGCGAAAGCCUGACGGAGCAACGCCGCGUGAGUGAUGAAGGUCUUCGGAUCGUAAAACUCUGUUAUUAGGGAAGAACAUAUGUGUAAGUAACUGUGCACAUCUUGACGGUACCUAAUCAGAAAGCCACGGCUAACUAC
rnacentral:rRNA from 1 species